GUUGCUAUAAUUUAAAAAAAAUACAGGUUUGUGGUACCUGAAAUGUAAAUUUACUAGCAACC
rnacentral:tRNA from 1 species